ACCGCAGUAAAUGUUUUUUCAGAUCGAUAGUACAGCCUUUCUGGCACAAUCACUCACCGAGUUUUACUUCAAAUUUCUUUCCCUUCUAUCGAAUGGCCGGAACAAAGUUCGCGUUGGUAAUUUUUGUGCUGUUUGCUACCUGCUUCAUAUUUGAGACAGACGCAGUUUACCAGCUGUGCAAUAUCCAUUCACCAUCGUGCCCCGGUAAAAAAAGAUCAACAGCCUUGAAGUCACGAGCUCUUCCAAUGAACGUGAGGAAUAUGUGCGUGGCUAUGAGAAAUAUUUGCUCACGUGAGAAAGAUCAUUCGCAGGAUUUUAGCUAGUUAAAAAAGGCUUAUUUUGACCCGAGCAUUGUGAUGUCCAUGGAAGUAAACGAAACACAAAAUGACUACAUCUCAUGCACUAAAAGAAUUGAAUAGUAUGAAAAAAGGAUAAAGGUAAAAGCAUAUGAAAAAUAAAAAAAUUACAUCCAGAGA